GGGGGUGUCCCGGUUUCGACUGUUGCGGUCUUGAGUCUCGGGUUGCAGGUGGCGUGCCGAUGCCUACUCUCGGCAAAACCUUUAAUUGCCAACAACAACGGCAAUUUCGCUCUCGCUGCGUAAGCACCGACAGUGAACGGACCCCGCAGGGCCCCGCUCUGAGCGCUGCGAACGGUUUGUAAACCAACCAGGGCUUACCUGCCAGCCAGUCGUCGGGCCGGUGGGGAAACUUAGACGGCUAAGGAAUCGAUAGCGCGCGGCCUCGCCACCCGGAUCCCGACAACUUGAACAAGCCGCUAAACCUGUAGACGCCCCCGGUUCGCGCAAUAGGACACGGGUUCGACUCCCGUCACCUCCAAAA
rnacentral:tmRNA from 6 species